rnacentral:lncRNA from 1 species
CCCAUCUCUCCAGCCCAUCUCUCCCUUAUCCUCAUCCUCACCUACAGGGGAGGCAAAGGCAUGGCGUGGCAGCCAUCCACGCCAUCCUGGUCGCCGAUGCCGACGUGUUGGCCAUCCCCCAGUCCCCUCGGUGUAUAAGGCCGAGCGCCCAACCCCGCUGACGAACCCUAGCGCUCCUAAUCCCCUCGUUCGCCCCUCUUCCUCUCCGUCUUGUUCGCCCGAGCACGGUCGUCGAUGCGCUGCCGUCGAUCCCGCGGCCACCGGCCACCCCGACCUGCGCCACGGCGUCUAGGCGGCCCACCGUCCUCGUCUCCUUCCUCUACGCCCUUCGGUUCGUCACCAGGCCGCCACCAAGAUCGCCAUCGCGGGUCUUCUCCGCCACGGCCGUCAUCACCUCGCCGCUCGACCCGCUCGUCUCCGACCAGCCCCGAUCUCCCCGACCUCGCCAUCGAGCUCGCGGUGAGCAUCUCUUCCGGUUCCCCCUCCUCCCGGCCUUGAUCCAUCGUCGUAUAGCCUGUCACCGUGCUACGGAUUCCAUGGCCGAAUCUCGCGCUUGCCCACACGGCCUGCCUCGCCUCGGGCCGCGUUUGGCCGCGCCUGCCAGCCCUGUGCGCUGCUCCCUGGCCGCGCCCACCUUUGCUCCCCGCGCUCCCCUGCCCGCCAGCCCGCAGCCGUCCGCUACCCUGCUGCUCGCGCUGAUGCUGCUUCUAUCGCUGCUGCUCCAUUGCCGCCGUCACCGCUACUUUGCUGCUGCUCAUGCUAGCUGCGGCUACUUUUGUUGCGUGCUGCUGCCGCUGCUAGGACUGCUGCUACUGCAGCCGCCUACUACUACCACUGGCCAUGGCCAUGGCCAUGGCCGUGUGUGUGUGUGCAUGAGUGAGUGUGUUGUGUGAGUGCGUGAGUGUGACUACAGUGUGUAGCUGGCCCUUGUCAGAGUAAGUUUAGCUUAGGAUUAAAAUUAGUGCUAAGUUAGUCUAAAUGUCUAAUACUCCAGAUGGCAUGUGAACCCACUGUUAGUUUAAAGAAAAAGCAAAUUUUAAAAGAAUGUCUAAGACAAUGACAUGUGGGACCCAACUACACUAUUCACCCCUUGACCAGUCAAUGUUGACUGGGUCAACUGGGUCCCUGGCCCCACCUAUCUGCCAUGUGUGCAUUGUUGGGUACACAGAAAGUGUACCCAUAGCAAUUUAACCUUUUUAUUUGAAAUAAUAAUGAUUUCAGAAAAUCUAGAAAAAUGUUUAAAAACUUUAAUAAUUCAUAGAAAAUAAAACCGUAACUCGGAUGAAAAUGUUUUCUACAUGAAAGUUGCUCAGAAAAACGUGAUGAAUCCAAAUGCGUGGUCCGUUUUCCUGUAAGAUGCCUCUAACUAUCUGAACAUGGAACAUUCCCCUCCGGUCAUCUGUCUGACACAGGUCCGGAACCGGGAAAACAUUGCCGGUUGAAUUCCCCCUUCACCUAUAUCGUGUAGCCAUACAUUAGGUCACACCCGUCACAACAUAUUGUCAUGUUAUGUUUUGUGAUGCUUUGUUUGCUUUAUAUUUAUUGUUUCUUCCCCCUCUUCUCUCUGGUAGACCCCGAGACCGAUGCUGCCCCUGUGAUCGACUACAUCGCCGAUGACACUUCUUCCUUUUCAGCAGAUCUUCCAGGCAAGCAAACCCUCCUUGAGCAUUCCGAUAUCGCCCAUUUGUUUCCCUCUCAUGCUUGCAUUGGAACUGCUACUGCUUUCUGUAUAAUCCUACUCUGAUGCAUAGCCUGUUUUUGUUACUUGCUUAUCCUAAACUGCUUAGUAUAGGUUGGUUAGUGAUCCAUCAGUGACCUUCACCUUGUCCUAGUUGCCCCGCUUUAUGUUUGAUGACUCAAUCAACGUGAUCAACGUCCAGGCCCCGACACCGCACAUCACCCCCCUAGUUGUACGACUCUGCAGAGUUACCAUCGAGUGCCGAGGGUGGAACCUCUUACAUCACUCCUGAUGAGACCUCUGUAGUGUAGCUAUUCGGUCGUGGUCAUCGAGGAUGAUUUCCUCCUUAACCACUUCCGAUACGGCUCUGUCGUGAAACCCCUCAAGUGUGAACCUCGAGGGUGGAUCCUCUUACGUUCACCUUGAUGAUUACAUCGAGUGGAAUUCACCGGGGGUGAUUCCUCGGGUUUCCCCCUUGAUGUUUGGACACACGGAUACUUUGACUUUACAGCUGUUACUUGGAAAGGCGGGUCGACCCUGAGGGGUACCCACGAGUGAUGUGGAGAAGGGUUGACCUGGAGGGUACCCGAGAGUUGAACACGAGGCAUGGCCGGGCAUUCGUAGCUCUUGCCGCAAGUACUCGAGACGGGGAGACGGGGUCACAUCUUUCGUGAGUCUCUGCUCGUGACCGCACUACGAACACAUUAACGAUUUGGAUAUUUGAUCCGAGGGGCCUCUAGACUGAUAGCACUAACCAUCACAUGGGCAUUAUAUGGGCGUUCUGCAUCGUAUGCAUCAGCCGAAGCUUAUUAGACAUCAGCGACUGAGCGGCGCGAGCCGGGUUGGACUGGUAAGCUCCUGCCUUUUUAAGGAGGUAGCUAAGUCUGCUCACCGGCCGCCCACGCAAUGUGCAGGAGUUCUGGGGGCGAUGGCCCAAGACCCCUGGGGGCAUAGGUUUAAUUCGGCGUGCUGACCUCUCUAUUAAGCCUAGGUCGGGUUGCGGCGUAUUGUUCGGCCAAGGCCGGGCAUGACCCAGGAAAGUGUGUCCGGCCGGAGUUAAUCGAGCGUGAUGGGUAAGUUGGUGCACCCCUGCAGGAAAGAAAACAUCUAUCGAUAGCAUGUCCUACGGUAACGGACACUUGGAGUUGUAUCCCGAUCGAUACUACUAGAAUUGGAUACUUGAUAUGAGAAAUGGUUAUGAGAAAUGGAUAGUAUGGCUUUGGGAUUGCUUUCUCGCAGGGAGUCGAGAAAGGAUCUCUGGCCGAUGUUGAUAAAACUACUACUACUUUACAUUAUGUUGAUCUGUACUCUUCUAUAUGCUGCAAGAUGCUUGAAGAUGCUAGUCUUCGAUAGGCUAGGAUUUCCCCUUCUCUUCUGGCAUUCUGCAGUUUAGUCCACAGAUACAGCCCAUUUCCUUUGAUACAGAUGCAUACUUAGUUUAGAUCUGAUGUAAGUCUUGUGAGUACUUUGGAUGAGUACUCACGGUUGCUUUGCUACCUAUUUUUCCCCUAUACCCGAUUGUUACGACCAGAUGACAGAUCCCAGGAGCCAGACGACACCACCGAUGACUACUACUACCCCGAGGGUGCCUACUUCUACGUGAUGGCCACUGACGACCUGGAGUAGUUAGGAGGCUCCCCGGUAGGAGGCCUUGCCUUUUCAAUCAAUGUUGCUUUUGUGCUAGCCUUCUUAAGGUAAAACUUGCUUAACCUAUGUUUGUACUCAGAUGUUGUUGCUUCCGCUGACUCUUGUGUAUUCGAGCUUAUGUAUUCGAGCCCUCGAGGCCCCUGGCUUGUAAUAUAAAGCUUGUAUUAUUUUAAUUUGUGUCUAGAGUUGUGUUGUGAUUUCUUCCCAUGAGUCCUUGAUCUUGAUCGUACACAUUUGCGUGUAUGAUUAGUGUACGAUUGAAUCGAGGGCAUCACACAGAUCCUGGUAGCCCCCGAGACUCAGGUCGAUUUGCAAAAUCGGCCUGGGGAUCAACUCCUAGCUCGGCAGCAUACAUAGGAAUAGAAACGCAGUGUAAUAUAUUAGAGAUAAUAGUGAUCGGCAAACGGGCCCUUGAGAGAGAAG